AAAUUAGUUACUGACUUCCCAGAAAAGAGACUUACCGCACUGGAGUUCAGAUCACUGAAGCUUAAUGGGUCUGCUGGCUCUUUUCUGACAGGUGAACACCUUUGUGCUUUUCCGGGUGGUGGUGGUGACUGUGUCCAGUGCUCGCAGGAGGGCAAAGAUGCUGACACCCAACAGCAGCCUGGAGAACCAGAUUGGAAUACAAAUAUGGGCCACAGCCAAACCCAUCUUGGUGCUGCUGCCUGUGCUGGGACUGACAUGGGUGUGUGGGAUCCUUGUCCACCUCAGCAUCAUUUGGGCUUACGUCUUCAUUGUGCUCAAUUCCCUCCAGGGCCUUUAUAUAUUCCUGGUCUAUGCAAUCUAUAACAGUGAGGUA
rnacentral:lncRNA from 1 species